ensembl:snoRNA small nucleolar RNA SNORA65
CCCGCCACUUCGCCAGUCUGUCUUGUGACUGAGUAUAGUCCAGUGGGGGCUAAGACAGACCCAGCUCUAGGAAACAGGGCUGCCCGAACAGUGGGUUUCCCUGUGCCGAAAGGCCUGGAACAAAU